rnacentral:rRNA from 1 species
AUGCGUAGGGAGCGAGCGUUGUCCGGAAUUACUGGGCGUAAAGGGCGCGUAGGCGGCGCUUCAAGUCGUCUGUCAAAUGGGAGGGCUUAACCCUUUUUCGCAGACGAAACUGGAGAGCUUGAGAAGCAGAGAGGCAAACAGAAUUCCUGGUGUAGCGGUGAAAUGCGUAGAUAUCAGGAAGAAUACCAGUGGCGAAGGCGGUUUGCUGGCUGCAUACUGACGCUGAAGCGCGAAAGCCAGGGGAGCAAACGGGAUUAGAUACCCCGGUAGUCCUGGCAGUAAACGAUGUAUGCUGGGUGUGAGACUAGCGAUAGUUUCGUGCCGAAGUUAACGCGAUAAGCAUACCGCCUGGGGAGUACGGUCGCAAGAUUGAAACUCAAAUGAAUUGACGGGG